rnacentral:rRNA from 1 species
GGUGAACGCUGGCGGCGUGCUUAACACAUGCAAGUCGAGCGAUGAAGUUUCCUUCGGGAAACGGAUUAGCGGCGGACGGGUGAGUAACACGUGGGUAACCUGCCUCAUAGAGUGGAAUAGCCUUCCGAAAGGAAGAUUAAUACCGCAUAAUGUUGAAAGAUGGCAUCAUCAUUCAACCAAAGGAGCAAUCCGCUAUGAGAUGGACCCGCGGCGCAUUAGCUAGUUGGUGGGGUAACGGCCCAUCAAGGCAAUGAUGGGUAGCCGGCCUGAGAGGGUGAACGGCCACAAGGGGACUGAGACACGGCCCUU